CUGCAUCCACUGAUAGACCAUGAACAGGUUGUGGUUCUUGUGGUUUGCUCUACGAUGAGAGUCAAGGAUCCUUUGCAAUUUCUGCCUGUCUUUGUGGCAGCCCAGAUAGAAUUGGGAAGUACAUCA
ensembl:snoRNA